rnacentral:rRNA from 1 species
UGAGUUUGAUUCUGGCUCAGAACGAACGCUGGCGGCAGGCCUCAUACAUGCAAGUCGAGCGGUCCUUCGGGACAGCGGCGAACGGGUUAGUAACGCGUGGGAACGUGCCCUUUAGUACGGAAUAGCCAUUGGAAACGAUGAUUAAUACCGUAUACGCCCCAAGGGGGAAAGAUUUAUCGCUAAAGGAUCGGCCCGCGUUAGAUUAGGUAGUUGGUAGGGUAAUGGCCUACCAAGCCGACGAUCUAUAGCUGGUUUGAGAGGAUGAUCAGCAACACUGGGACUGAGACACGGCCCAGACUUCUACGGAAGGCAGCAGUAAGGAAUCUUGGACAAUGGGCGAAAGCCUGAUCCAGCCAUGCCGCGUGAGUGAUGAAGGCCCUAGGGUUGUAAAGCUCUUUCGCCAGGGAAGAUAAUGACGGUACCUGGUAAAGAAACCCCGGCUAAC